rnacentral:rRNA from 1 species
CGGAAUCACUGGGCGUAAAGCGCACGUAGGCGGACUCUUAAGUCGGUGGUGAAAUCCUGGAGCUCAACUCCAGAACUGCCUUCGAUACUGAGAGUCUUGAGUCCGGGAGAGGUGAGUGGAACUGCGAGUGUAGAGGUGAAAUUCGUAGAUAUUCGCAAGAACACCAGUGGCGAAGGCGGCUCACUGGCCCGGUACUGACGCUGAGGUGCGAAAGCGUGGGGAGCAAACAGG